rnacentral:rRNA from 1 species
ACGCGACCAACCCUAUUGUAGUUGCCAUCAUUCAGUUGGGCACUCUAGCGAGACUGCCGGUAAUAAACCGGAGGAAGUGGGGAUGACGUCAAAUCAUCAUGCCCCUUAUGACCUGGGCUACACACGUGCUACAAUGGUUGGUACAACGAGUUGCGAGUCGGUGACGGCGAGCUAAUCUCUUAAAGCCAAUCUCAGUUCGGAUUGUAGGCUGCAACUCGCCUACAUGAAGUCGGAAUCGCUAGUAAUCGCGGAUCAGCACGCCGCGGUGAAUACGUUCCCGGGCCUU